CAGCAGCCACGGGAAUACAGAGGGUGCGAGCGUUAAUCGGAUUUACUGGGCGUAAAGCGUGCGUAGGCGGCUUCUUAAGUCGGAUGUGAAAUCCCUGAGCUUAACUUAGGAAUUGCAUUCGAUACUGGGAAGCUAGAGUAUGGGAGAGGAUGGUAUAAUUCCAGGUGUAGCGGUGAAAUGCGUAGAGAUCUGGAGGAAUACCGAUGGCGAAGGCAGCCAUCUGGCCUAAUACUGACGCUGAGGUACGAAAGCAUGGGGAGCAAACAGGAUUAGAUACCCCCGUAGUCCCUGUCUCUUAUAA
rnacentral:rRNA from 1 species